AUUGAACGCUAGCGGGAUGCCUUACACAUGCAAGUCGAACGGAGUGGCGAACGGGUGAGUAAUGUAUCGGAACGUGCCCAGUAGCGGGGGAUAACUACGCGAAAGCGUAGCUAAUACCGCAUACUAUUGGAGCGGCCGAUAACGGAGUGGCUAGUUGGUGGGGUAACGGGGCACCAAGGCGACGAUCCGUAGCUGGGUUGAGAGGACGACCAGCCACACUGGGACUGAGGCACGGCCCAGACUCCGACGGGAGGCAGGCGUGGGGAAUUUGGGACAAUGGGGGAAACCCUGAUCCAGCCAUCCCGCGUGGGCGAGAAAGGCGUUCAGGUUGUAGAGCACUUUUGGCAUGAAAGCGGUACCUGCAGAAGAAGCGCCGGCUAACUACGUGCCAGCAGCCGCGGUAAUUC
rnacentral:rRNA from 1 species